GGAGGGUGCAAGCGUUAUCCGGAUUCACUGGGUUUAAAGGGUGCGUAGGAGGGCAGGUAAGUCAGUGGUGAAAUCUUCGAGCUUAACUCGGAAACUGCCGUUGAUACUAUCUGUCUUGAAUACCGUGGAGAUGAGCGGAAUAUGUCAUGUAGCGGUGAAAUGCUUAGAUAUGACAUAGAACACCAAUUGCGAAGGCAGCUCGUUACACGAAUAUUGACUCUGAGGCACGAAAGCGUGGGGAUCAAACAGGAUUAGAUACCCUGGUAGUCCACGCCCUAAACGAUGGAUACUCGACAUACGCGAUACACUGUGUGUGUCUGAGCGAAAGCAUUAAGUAUCCCACCUGGGAAGUACGACCACAAGGUAUG
rnacentral:rRNA from 1 species